UACGUAGGGUGCAAACGUUGCUCGGAAUCAUUGGGCGUAAAGCGCACGUAGGCGGCCUGUUAAGUCGGAUGUGAAAUCCCUCGGCUCAACCGAGGACGUGCAUUCGAAACUGCAGGGCUAGAGUCCUGGAGAGGAAGGUGGAAUGCUUGGUGUAGAGGUGAAAUUCGUAGAUAUCAAGCGGAACACCGGUGGCGAAGGCGGCCUUCUGGACAGUGACUGACGCUGAGACGCGAAAGCGUGGGGAGCAAACAGG
rnacentral:rRNA from 1 species